GGUGCUGCACACCAACCUCCCGGCGCCUGGUGGGCACAAGCGCAAGGUCGCGCAGAGGAAGCUCCUCAAUGGCCAGUGAAGGGCUACCAGCGCCACUGCUACCCCGGCCACGUAUUCGCCUUACCUCAGCCUAGGCUGGAGUACAAUGGCACGAUCCUGGUUCACUGCAAACUCCGCCUCCUGGUUUCAAGUGUUUCUCCUACCUCAGGUUCCUGAGUAGCUGGGAUUACAGGCACGCAUCACCACAGGCCAGACAUGACCUUAGCAUUGCUCCCAUGAUGAGGCGAGGUCUGUGCUCCUUCCCCCUGAAUUCAAGAAGGUCUGUGACUGGCAGGAGCGAUUCAAGCUUUUGAAUCUCUUACUCACCAAACCUAGUCUUUCUUGGAAGACUUUCUCUGCCUCAAUGUUUUCCCAGUGGACCCAGGGAGAGGAGCUCAUUGCCAAAACUACAGAAAAGCUGUACACGGGAUGCAGCCAGAAUGACCAGGUGCCUCUAGCCCCUCCACCCCACUGCUCCAUGCUGUCCCAACCUUGGGGAGCCCAGGGAGCAGUUAGAGCUCAGCAGUGUCCUGGCUCCCCAGGGAAGCAACACGUCGGCCUUUCAGAGCACCUCCUCCUCCUCGCACAGGUGAUCACGCACCUUAGGUUGUGGAUGCAGCAGACCUUCUCCACGCUCUCAGGCCUCCUCUGGGAUCUCAUCAGGAAGAUGGCAGAUUGGACAGAGAGUCUCUCACCAGGCUGGAUUGCAGAGGCUUGCUCACACCUCACGACAGCCUCAAACUCCUGGGCUCAAACAAUCCUCCUUUCUCGAUUUCCUAAGUACCUGGGAUUACGGGGAAAGAAAUGAUACAAGAAAAGAAGGAUGAAGACAUAGUUCUUCCUUUGGUUUCACAGUUUUGGUUGGAAAUGCAACAUUCAGUUUAAUUUACUUAGUGGGAAAUUAUUAAGUGCAAUGCACUGCUCAGUUGUUUCAGGAAUUGUAAGCAUCAAAUAGAGACUCAGACUGGAUCUUUACCAUCAUUUGGAGAAAAUGAAACAAAUACAGAAAUACUCAAGGACGAAAAGCUGUGUGUUCUAAACAAACCAUAUUUCUGAUGAUGAGGCAUCUUGUCAAGGAGGGAAAACAUCAUUUUUCUGUUAAAGUUAGAAAAUCAGCUUCAUGGAAUACACUGUGUUUGAAUCUACUGAAAUUGUUAUUCUUGUUAUUGACUUCUUACCCACAAAAUAUUGGAAAGAAUUAUAAACAAUAAGGAAACAAUUCUCCCAAUAUUUCCCUAAAGACAACACAAUUAUUAUACUAAUUGAUUAAAUCCCUUUAAUUUUUUUCUAUAUUUGUUAAAGUAAUCAAAUUCUAUUUACAAUUUUCUAUUCUUUCUGCUUACUUUGUAUUUUGUCAUAAAGAUCUUACAUUGUAUUUCUAAUCAUCAAUUUUUAUUUUUUAUAUUUCUUUAUUGAUUUAUGUUUUCUUGGAGACAGAAUCUCACUAUAUCACCUAGGCUGGAUUGCAGGGGCACGAUCUCGGCUCACUGCAACCUCCACCUCAGGCACAAGCGAUUUUCCUGCCUCAGCCUCCACAGUAGCUGGGACUUCAGGAGCCUGCCACUGCACCUUGCUAGAGCUUUCUAGACUUUCUCCCUAUAUCCCUUGAGCUGGGAUGAGCAGUGCCAGAAACCACAGAGUGGCUUUGCAACUGGCCUUGGAGACUUCCACAAGCUACCGCCACUGCACUGUGAGACCCUGAUGCCUGAGCUGACUUCAUCUUAUUGGACAGCAAGCCUUGGCGAGAAUGUAGAUCUAUUUCUGAGGGUAGAAGAUUAAAUUCGUGUGGUUUUCUUCCCUUAGGAAGAUGGACUUAGACUUCCCACAGGCCUUCCAGAAGGAACUCACCUGUGUCAUCUGCCUGAACUACCUGGUAGACCCUGUCACAUAGGCUGUGGGCACAGCUCCUGUAGACCCUGUCUCUGCCUUUCCUGGGAUGGAGCCCAAAGUCCUUCCAACUGCCCUGCAUGCAGGGAACCAUCACACCAAAAGGAUUUCAAAACGAACAUUUUUCUGUAGAAUUUAGUGACGACUGCUGGGAAAGCCAGUCUCUGGCAAUUCCUGAGCUCUGAGAAACAAGUAUGUGGGACCCAUAGGGAAACAAAGAAGAUGUUCUGUGGCACGGACAAGAGUCUGCUCUGCUCGCUGUGCUCUAACUCUCAGGAGCACGGGGCUCACAAACACUGUCCCAUUGAAGGGGCAGCUGAAGAACACCAGGUAAGAGACAGCACUGGGAUCACCUGAAGGCUGGAGGGUGGAAGAGUUAAAGAGAUGAGAAGGGAGAGGAGAAUCACUGUGCUGAUCACUCCACUCUUUACUGAGUGCCAGGUGCUUUCGGAGAUACCAGUGAUGAAAUUCUGAAUUCAAUAUGCAACUAUACCUGCCUUCAUGGAGCCUGCACCCAAAAAGAGGGUGAUUAAGUAAAUGUCACUAUUACUUUGACUCUACAGUACAAUGCUAAAGGCAUUGAAAAGCUACCAAAACUAGAAGAACAAAGAAAAUACAUUUUGGAAAUGUAUUUAAUAGUACUGGAUAAAUGGCAAAAGCAGGAGGCUAGCAUAGUGGAUUCUGAAGAAGGCUGUUUCACUGAUCAUUAGCUCGGUUACAAGAAAUCUUUACUCACCAGUUCCCUAAACUGUUAUACAUUCUGAAACCUCAGAUUUGAAAAAUACUGAGGAUGAGCAGUGAAACGAUUUGUUUUAUUUUCCUCUCUGUAGUCUGUUCAUACAUGAUAUCCCUUGCCUGCAUAUGUCACUCAGAGUGUGGAAUCUAUGGUAUUUGAUUUUCUGUUGUUCGCCCUCAUAAUUCUUCGUCGAACACGAAGAGUCUCUUUAGGUUCAUACUAUUGCUAUGGAGAAAGAGAAUUCACUCUCAAAUGUGUCUUCCAGGACUAACUCGUGGUGAAAAAUAAAGAUGGCUUCGGAGAACUCCAGGAGACUAGAAAUCACUAGCGAGUCGUUCCCUUAGAGAGGUGAUCAUAUCUCUGCUAAAAUCCUACUGGGUAUGGCUGGUAUUUAUAAGCAAUAGAGAAUCUUCUCAACUGAGUACAAUUUCCUAAACUGAGUAGUGCACCCGUUGAAAAAAAAAGGCAGGCCGGGCGUGGCGGCUCAUGCCUGUAAUCCAAGCACUUUGGAGGCCAAGGCAGGUGGAUCACCUGAGGUCAGGAGUUCAAGACCAUUCUGACCAACAUGGUGAAACCCUGUCUUCAAAAAAAAAAAAAAGAAAGAAAAAAAGAAAAAAAAGUCUUCCUCAAGAUGAAACUAGGACUCUUCUUUCGUGGUAAUGAGUGAACUCAAAUAAAUAAAAGAAGUACUUAGUUGUUCACAAGUGAACAGCAUCCUAAACCGGUCAAGAAGACAUGUGGUACCUGGUCAAGGUGUACCUGCUAUGUAGGAAGCGUUGGUGGGGUGGCUGGAGGUGAUGGCAGUUGAGAUGUCUGGUGUGUGUAGGUGUAGGUAUGUCUCUGGGUGGUGGACAGAAGGCUGGGCUGGCAGAUGGCUCAACCACAAGUGCCAAGUUCACAGAUGUUACAGACUGAACCUGUCAGAGGAGUUUAGUUCUCACCCCUUCUCCUUCCCUCUACUGGCCCUCCCCGCCUCUCCUCCUCUCCCUGUAGGAGUGUGGUGGAAAACAGAUGGGCAGGUGAUUCGACUGGGGUAGGGCUGCUCUGCAUUGUAAAGUAGCUCAGAAAGCCCGUAUGAGCCACUCUAUGUACAUGACCACACACACGGCCUAUGUACAUGACCACAAACAUGACCUAUGUACAUGACCACACACACGGUCUAUGUACACGACCACACACAUGGCCUAUGUACAUGACCACACACACGGCCUAUGUACAUGACCACACAUAUAUGACUGAUUUCUGUCACAAUUGGGUCACAGUUUUUAAAAGAGAUGCUUGGCCCUGUAGAGGUUUAAUCAAGGUCACAGGUCUUUCUGAGUCCUAGAAAAAGGGUGGUGGGUGGCCUGUAAUCCCGCACUUUGGGAGGCCCAGGAGGGUGGAUCAUGAGGUCAAAAGAUCGAGACCAUCUUGGCUAACAUGGUGAAACCCCGUCUCUACUAAAAAUACAAUAAUUAGCCAGGCAUGGUGGUACAUGCCUGUAGUUCCAGCUACUUGGGAGGCUGAGGCAGGAGAAUCAUUUGAACCCAGGAGGUGGAGGUUGCAGUGAGCUGAGAUUGCACCACUGAAUUCCAGCCUGGCGACAGAGAGAGACUCUGUCUAAGAAAAAAAAAAAGAAGCAAAGGCAGGUGUAGCUCAGACUCUGUCUCGACGACUCUGUCUCGACCC